rnacentral:rRNA from 1 species
UACGGGGGGGGGCAAGCGUUGUUCGGAAUUACUGGGCGUAAAGGGCUCGUAGGUGGCCAACUAAGUCAUACGUGAAAUCCCUCAGCUUAACUGGGGAACUGCGCCUGAUACUGGCUGGCCUGAGUUUGGGAGAGGGACGCGGAAUUCCAGGUGUAGCGGUGAAAUGCGUAGAUAUCUGGAGGAACACCCGUGGCGAAAGCGGCUCUCUGGAACGGUACUGACGCUGAGACGCGAAAGCGUGGGGAGCGAACAGG